rnacentral:rRNA from 1 species
GACAAACGCUGGCGGCGUGCCUAACACAUGCAAGUCGAGCGGAGAUACCUGACGAGUAAUCAGAUGGUAUUUUAGCGGCGGACGGGUGAGUAACGCGUGAGCAACCUGCCCUUUACAGGGGGAUAACGCACCGAAAGGUGCACUAAUACCGGAUAACUGAUUAGACCGCAUGGUCUAAUGAUAAAAGAUGGCUUCGGCUAUUACUUAAGGAUGGGCCCGCGGCGCAUUAGCUAGUUGGUGGGGUAACAGCCUACCAAGGCAACGAUGCGUAGCCGACCUGAGAGGGUGAUCGGCCACAUUGGGACUGAGACACGGCCCAAACUCCUACGGGAGGCAGCAGUAGGGAAUCUUCCGCAAUGGACGAAAGUCUGACGGAGCAACGCCGCGUGAGUGAUGAAGGUCUUCGGAUCGUAAAACUCUGUUGUUAGGGAAGAACAAGUAUCGUUCGAAUAGGGCGGUACCUUGACGGUACCUAACCAGAAAGCCACGGCUAACUACGUG